rnacentral:rRNA from 1 species
ACCGGCAGCUAGCUCUCUGCAACUCUCACAUGGUCGCCCACUGAAGCUAAGCAGGGCUGCGCCUGGUCAGUACCUGGAUGGGAGACCACAUGGGAAAGCUAGGUUGCUGCCGGAA